AGUGAACGCUGGCGGUAGGCCUAACACAUGCAAGUCGAACGGCAGCACAGUAAGAGCUUGCUCUUACGGGUGGCGAGUGGCGGACGGGUGAGGAAUACAUCGGAAUCUACUUUUUCGUGGGGGAUAACGUAGGGAAACUUACGCUAAUACCGCAUACGACCUACGGGUGAAAGCAGGGGAUCUUCGGACCUUGCGCGAUUGAAUGAGCCGAUUUCGGAUUAGCUAGUUGGCGGGGUAAAGGCCCACCAAGGCGACGAUCCGUAGCUGGUCUGAGAGGAUGAUCAGCCACACUGGAACUGAGACACGGUCCAGACUCCUACGGGAGGCAGCAGUGGGGAAUAUUGGACAAUGGGCGCAAGCCUGAUCCAGCCAUACCGCGUGGGUGACGAAGGCCUUCGGGUUGUAAAGCCCUUUUGUUGGGAAAGAAAAGCAGCAGGUUAAUACCCCGCUGUUCUGACGGUACCCAAAGAAUAAGCACCGGCUAACUUCGUG
rnacentral:rRNA from 1 species